CCUGCCAACGCAGGGGACAUGGAUUGACUCCCUGACCAGGAAGAUUCCACAUGCUGCGGAGCCACUGAGUUCACUCGCCACAACUACUGAGCCCAGGUGCUGCAACUCCUGAAGCCUGCACCCUAGGGCUCGAGCUCCCCCGAAAGAGAAGCCGCUCAAUGAGAAGCCCGUGCACCACAAUUAGAGAGGAGCUCCUGCUCGCUGCAACUAGAGAAAAGCCCGCACAGCAACAAAGACCCAGCACAGCCAAAAAUGACCUCAUCCAUCCCAUGGCUUCACUGCUUUAUGGUGAUAAUUCUCAGACCUUUGUGGAGAGAAGACUGCUCACCGAUGACCCCAGCCUCUCUCUUGAGUUUGCCUGACAAGGAGGAAAUGUACAGUGUUAAGGGCACUCAAGGUGUCCUGGUACCAUCAGCAUGCGUGGGCCAUCUCCCUGGGCAGGUGGCCCCCAAGUUAGACUCUUCUAGUUGCAAGACUGCUCUUAUGCUCACCUUUGGAAAAUACUGCUUUUGAGUAGCAAGGGUGAGCUCAUAAUGACUGCACCGGGUCCUGCCCAAGGAUAUCCUGGGAUCACUAGACAUGACACCAUGGCAUCUCCCUCCCGCCAGCCUGUGGUUCUGCCUGCACCGUGGGACACUCAGAUGUUUGCCUGAGCCAUUCACUCAAUAAUCUAUAUCUUAAGCCUGGACUUAUUGCCUGAACUUCAGACUUUUAUAUCCUACUGUCUACUUGAAUUCCCUUCCUGAAUGUCCCACAGAUUCCUCAAACUCAGCUCUUUCUUCCUCCUCCGAUGGACCUCCUUCAGUUAAUGGAAUCAUCACCCUCCCAGAUAUCCCAGGCAAAACAUCAGAAUUGCUUUCAUUCAAUUCUGUCCCCUCUGUCCACAACCAAAAAAGAAAUUAAAGAGUUGCUGUUUAUACUUUUUGAAAAAAGAU